rnacentral:rRNA from 1 species
AUGAGUUACUUGGACCUCUCAAACAAUCAAAUAGAUGGAGUCAUACCAAGUUGGAUAUGGGUAAAUUGGAAAGAUAGUAUAUCCGUUCUGUACCUCUCACACAAUAUGUUCACUAGCCUUGAAAACUCUCCAUCUGUUGUUCAUAUGAACAAUUUAAAGUUUCUCGAUUUUAGUUCCAACAAACUGCAUGGCAGUGUACCUAUACCGCUCACGACUGGGUCCCAGCUUUUCUUAGAUUACUCAAACAAUAGCUUCUCUUCCAUUAUACCCGACUUUGGUAGGUACCUUCCCAGCGGGACCAACUACCUUGAUUUGUCCAGGAAUAACUUAAGUGGUCACAUACCAAGGUCUCUUUGUACCCAACAAUAUCUCGAGAUACUGGACUUAUCAUACAAGAAUUUCAGCGGUGUGGUACCAUCCUGUCUAAUGCAAGGUAGCAUGAUCUGGUUGACUACGUUGAAGUUAAGGGAGAAUCAUUUCCAUGGGAUGCUGCCUGAAAAUAUUGGAGAAGGAUGUGCGCUUCAGACAAUAGAUUUGAACAACAACCGAAUUGAAGGGAAAAUACCCAGAUCGCUAUCAAAUUGCCAACAGCUAGAGCUCCUUGAUGUUGGUAACAAUCAAAUUGUUGGUUCUUUUCCAUCUUGGUUGGGGGUUCUUCCACAACUUCGAGUUCUUGUCUUAAGAUCCAACCAACUCAACGGAACCAUAAGGGAUAUUAAAGGUGACCAUACAGUCAGAAACUAUACAGUCAGAAACUACUUUGGAAGUUUGCAAAUACUUGAUUUAGCCUCCAACAACUUCUAUGGAAACCUACCAAAAGGAUGGUUUAAUGAACUGAAAGCAAUGAUGGAAAACGUCAGUGAUGAGGGACAAGUUCUGGGGCAUGAGACAAAUUCAAGGGAAGGAUUUUACCGAGAUACUGUUACCAUCACAUUCAAAGGGUUUGGUCUCAGUUUCACCAAAAUCCUAAGCACUUUCAAAGUAAUAGAUUUCUCAAAUAACUCAUUUGGUGGUCAUGUUCCAGAGUCAAUUGGGAGGCUUGUUUCCCUACGUGGGCUUAACAUGUCAUACAACAACUUCACAGGACAAAUUCCAUUUCAGUACAGAAACUUGUCUCAGCUGGAAUCGAUGGAUCUCUCUUGGAACCAGAUAACAGGGGGAAUACCACAUGAGUUAACCUCACUUACUUCUCUUGAAUGGUUGAAUCUUUCAUACAACAACUUGUAUGGAAGAAUCCCGCAAGGCAACCAGUUCUCAACAUUUUCAGACAGUUCAUUUGAAGGUAAUGCAGGCCUCUGUGGAGUUCCACUCUCCAAACACUGUGACAAUCAAAGUUCAAUUUCUCCAACUGGAGUGGCUCUUCCGGAAUCUGAGGGUUUGUGGCAGGACAAACUCGGUGUUAUCCUUUUGUUCGCAUUUGUUGGCUUGGGAUUUGGAGUCGGCUUUGCAUUGUCAUUCUUGUUGCGACUGUAUUGCCGCAUGGAAGGAUGGAUCUGCAAGCAAGCAUGA